UAGUUCGGAUUGACUAGCACCUUUCGCUCAAGGACUGAGAUUGAGAGCUACAAAGAGCAACGGCUGAGAUGGAGUUGCCAACCUCCAAUUUUUGCCGCACAUCAUCGCACAAGGCAGUUCGGCAGACCACGACUUAUGCAACCGCUCCCCACACCCCCACCCCUCUAUCACCCAUUUGCUAUGACUUUCCCUCUUCACUCCUCCAUUCCUCUUCCACAAAGCUGCUACGCCAACCAGGCAACCACCAUGGCCAUCCCUCCUCUCUCUCUCUCUCUCUCUCUCUCUCUCUCUCUCUCAAAUCUACUAUGGCAACCACCGAAAGUUCGAACCUGCUGCAAAUAUAGUUCCGAACUCAAUCCGGAUUUAAGGUUUUGAAAAUUGAAAGCAAUUUGGAUCUCGCACCGCUCUCCCUGCCCCCAUAACUCUGUGUGACUCUCUCGGCUCUGCCAACCACUAGAAUCUUUAGCAGAAUCUGUCCCUUGCUGUAAGCCAAUUUCUACUAAAGUCUUACGAACUCGAGGUACGUAAACACCAUUCUUUAUCACUUAUAUUUAUAACUCCAAGUGGGCUGUUUGUGUCCUUACAAUAAGUUUUUCACCGUUUGUGAACAUGUACUUCAAUUUUCUGCCAAGUGUUUGAUAAAAUGUGACAAACUACAAUAGCCUUAUGCUUUAAUUUAUGUUUUGAGUUGUGGUGGUAUACGUAUUGUUCUUCAACAACUACACAUUUUUCUUCCUAAACAAACUGAAGCUAUAUUACGAGGUACUAAAAAACACUUCUUUUUUAAUAGCAAAAAAUAAAUUUCAUUAAUCUUUGAAAAUGUUACAAAGACCAGGACAAGGAGAACACUUACAUGGAAGAAGAAGAAAACACAUCACACAAACACAGGAUAAAAUGGCCACUCAUGCUUCCAUAGUUUAAGAGCUCUUGGCAACUUGAAACCCCAUAGUUGUAUCUCCAAAGCUUUUGAAAAAACUUUGAUCCCAAGUCUAAUCUCACGCUUAGAUUAGUCUAAACUUGUAGCGUAGUGUAGAAUCGAAGACGAUUAGUGACAUAUCGUUCUUAGAUUACCAAGUGAAUAGUAGAAACCAAUUAGUGACAAGUCGUGCUUAGAUUAUUAGUUCGAGUCGGAGACGGUCCGUGCCUUUCAAGAUAUGCUAUGUCGGUGAUUAAUUAUAUUUAUCCUCUUGACGAAUUUAGCGGGGCUAGUCAUGACCACGUAUCAUAGUUGAAUGAAUGAAUUAAGACCUUAAACUAAUACAAUCCUAAUGCUACAAAGGUAGGGUGGAGUUGAGAUUCCAUGGCCUUCUCUAUCCCUUAUCUUUAUCUUUCAUUUUAUUUUAUGUUAUUUUUUUUUGUGCAUUUUAUAUUUAAAAAUCCAAAAUCAUUUAUCUUUUGCUCAGACUAAAGUGGAAGUCAAUUUUGGCAAUUGACACGCUUAUUUCCCUGUGGAUCGACUCGGACUUCGUCACUACACUAUGUAAAUCUUUAGUUAUAGUCCAGUUAAUGUAAAUAAAUAAUCUAAUUUGACGAUCAUUUGGUAAGCACAAAAUGACAUUUUUAACGACUACCAAAUGGGCGGCAUCAAUCUGUGUCUUUCUUUUUCAUAUAGUGAAACACUCCUCUUUUCCC